AUGACAGACUAAAUACUUUUAAAGACCCAAUGAAAACAAAGAAAUGCAUUUGGAGAAUUAACAGAAACUUUUUGUAACACCAAUUUUUUAUUUUACAUUUUAAAGCAUGGAAUGGAAUUUAUUGUAAAGACGUGUAUUUUAUAGAAUCCAAGCAAAAGCUCACCAGCCAGAGAUAAAGUGAGGCCAGCUCAGGGAAUGUGAGCAGUGGCGAUUUAUUCCCUCUGGUGUUCCAUGUUAGCCUGACACAGAGCCCCCUCUUCACAUUCUCAGGGGCUCUUGAUCCAAAACCUUUUUUAAAAAAAAUAAUUUUAGACUUAACAGAAAAUCUGCAAAAAUAGAUUUCCUGUGUGCCCUUCUCUCAGCUUCUUCUAAUGUUAACUUACAUACCAAUGGUACAAUUAUUGAAACUAGGAAAUUAACAUUGGCACAAUCCUAUUAACUACAUACUUUAUUUGAAUUGUAGCUGUUUUCCCAGUAAUGUUGUUUUUCUGGUUCGGUAUUCAAUCCAGGAUCCAUAUGUACUUGGGUCUUUCUGGGUUUUCUGUUCCACUGGUCUACUUGUGCAUGGUACCACACUGUUUUAAUUAUAGAGACUUUAUAGUAUGUUUUAACAACUGGCAAGGCUAGUCCCCCUUAUAAUUUUUCCUAUUGUGCUUCUGGCUAUUCAUACAUGUUUGUUUUUCCAUGUGAACUUUAGUAUCAACUUGUCU
rnacentral:lncRNA from 10 species